UACGUAGGGGGCGAGCGUUGUCCGGAUUUAUUGGGCGUAAAGAGCGUGUAGGCGGUUCGGUAAGUCUGUCGUGAAAUCCUGAGGCUCAACCUCGGGCGUGCGAUGGAUACUGCCGGCUAGAGGAUGGUAGAGGCGAGUGGAAUUCCCGGUGUAGCGGUGAAAUGCGCAGAUAUCGGGAGGAACACCAGUAGCGAAGGCGGCCCGCUGGGCCAUUCCUGACGCUGAGACGCGAAAGCUAGGGGAGCGAACAGG
rnacentral:rRNA from 1 species